rnacentral:rRNA from 1 species
GAUGAACGCUAGCGACAGGCCUAACACAUGCAAGUCGAGGGGCAUCGGGACGUAGCAAUACGUUGCCGGCGACCGGCGGAUGGGUGAGUAACGCGUAUGCAACCUACCCGUAGCAGGGGGAUAGCCCGUUGAAAGACGGAUUAAUACCCCGUAACACUGGGGCUCCGCAUGGAGAUUAUUGUUAAAGGGUCAUUUCUUUUUCAGGGAUGGUCCGGCUGCGGAUGGGCAUGCGUUCCAUUAGGUAGUUGGUGUAGGUAACUGCUCACCAAGCCGACGAUGGAUAGGGGAACUGAGAGGUUGGUCCCCCACACUGGUACUGAGACACGGACCAGACUCCUACGGGAGGCAGCAGUGAGGAAUUUUGGUCAAUGGACGCAAGUCUGAACCAGCCCGUGUCGCGUGAAGGAGGACGGCCCUAAGGGUUGUAAACUUCUUUUGCAGUGGAAUAAAGUUUGCCACGUGUUGGCGAUUUGCAAGUACCGCUGCGAAUAAGGAUCGGCUAACUCCGUGCCAGCAGCCCGNGGUAAUACGGAGGAUCCAGCNGUUAUCCGG